rnacentral:rRNA from 1 species
UACGUAGGGGGCAAGCGUUGUCCGGAUUCAUUGGGCGUAAAGAGCUCGUAGGCGGUUCAGUAAGUCGGGUGUGAAAUCUCCGUGCUCAACACGGAGCGGCCACCUGAUACUGCUGUGACUCGAGUCCGGUAGGGGAGUGUGGAAUUCCCGGUGUAGCGGUGAAAUGCGCAGAUAUCAGGAGGAACACCGGUGGCGAAGGCGGGUCUCUGGGCCGAUACUGACGCUGAGGAGCGAAAGCGUGGGGAGCGAACAGG